UUUGUAGCCUUUUUAUUUUAAUUUAUUCUUUUUUUUUUUUUUUUUUUUUGAGUCUUGCUCUGUCACCCAGGUGGAGUGCAGUGGUGUGAUCUCCGUUCACUGCAACCUCCACCGUCCAGGUUCAAGUGAUUCUUCUGCCUCAGCCCCCUGACUAAUUUUUGUAUUUUUGGUAGAGACGGAGUGGAAAUCAUGUUGGCCAGGAUGGUCUCAAACUCCUGGGUUAAAAGCGAUCCACUGGCCUCAACCUCCCAAAGUACUGGGAUUACAGAUGGGGAGCCGCUGCAGUUUCGCGGGAAGUCGGCCCGGCGGAGGGCAGAGCCCUGGGCGUGGAGGAAGCUGGAGCCAGGGGAGACUGGCAGGAAAGGAUCACGUGGGCCAGCGAGAGGAGAGCCUGGACAGGGGCCAGCAAAGGGCGAACUUCUGCAGACGAGGACUAUCCAGCCCUAGGGGUACGGGAGAGGGAAAGACGAGGCCGAGAGGGACCCUGACUUUGCAGCAGGGUGUCUGGGCAUUGGUGGCUCCACCUGCAGAACCAAAAGAAUCCACCAGGUCUGAUGGGCAAAGGUUCCUCCUCCCCUGCUGCAGCUAACAUGGAGGACUUGCAUGGAGAUGGUGGAGUCACAGGAUGAACACAGGCUAAGUCACUACCUGGAGGACAGCUGCCUGGACAGUCACCUGGAUCGCAGUGGACUGCAUGAAUGAAAACAAAUUUGUUCCCAGGUUCUUGGGGCUUGAAAAGAUCCCUUUAUGGAGUGAAGCCACUUUUUCUCAACGUUCUGAAACUCACGCUGCUCCAGCCUGAGGCUUCCAGAAGUGCCCUACAGGUGCCUGAGUGUGUGGGCCUGCUGCCUGCAAGUGCACCCGGGGAGUGCGGGGUUUGGCGUUUACAGAUGUGACCAGGGGCUAAGAGACUGGGGCGCAGCCUCUCCCCAACACGGACUCUAUUUCCCCACACGCUCACUUCCCCUCCCUCAACUGCAGUCUUCUUUCUCUAUAACUAACACAGGGAUCACUGCCUCUAUUUUCUUAGAGGUAUUGUUCAUCGCUCACCCCUCACGCAGUAAGUAUGUGUUCAGGCACAGAGCAAAGGGCUGAGAGAAGGGAGCUGCUGUGGGUGCCUUCAAGGAACUUACCACAGCAACAGUUAACAGCAGCAGGAAGAUAUUGUUAAGUGUUUUCUGUGUACCAGUCACUGUUCUAAGCAUCUCUCAUGGAUGAUUCUGUUUAAUCCUCAAAAUGACCCUUGGAAGUGGGCAUUCCUAUUAUCCCCUUUUAACAGAUGAGAAAAAUACAACACUGAAAAGCCAAAGAAAUUCACUCUGGCUAGCAAGCGUUGGAGGCAGAAUUCAAAACCAGGCUGAGUCCAGCAGUAUAAUCCCACUCGUGCUACCUAGAAAGCUCAUUACAGCAAGGGCCCCAAGCAAGGGUACAUCCUGACACUCACUGAGAAAUGUGGGAUGUUUAGACAUGAAGGGAGCUUGGGGGUAGCAGCCUCAUGGAAGAUGGUAAUGAGGCCUAAAACCAUCCCCUAAAGGCAGGGAAGCAUGGGCACUCCUAACCUCCCAAGGAGUGGCCAGAUAAGGUUGGGGCCCUUUGGUAACCAAUCCAGUCCAGGGACACAGGUGAGCAGUCAAUGAAGAGGCACCAUUCUGAGUCUGCCCAGAACAGGUGACUCAGAUUGUCCAGCCCAUCCAGGGCCACUAGCUGUGCUUCUAAAGGAGAAGGUGCUAACAAUGGAAAGAAAGUCCACGAAAGACCUACUCUUUCAGAAGCUUGAAGGAAACCAAGAGGAGAGCUUGCUCUGCUUUGUGCCCUAAUGGUGGAGUUUUAAGGCAGAUGAGGACAGAGUCUUUCCUCCAAUUGACUGGAACAACUGUCAGAGCUAAACCGAGGAGUGGUCACAUCCCAGUGCAUGAGAGGAGGUAGAGUGUGAACAUCAUGAAAUUGCCAAUGCGAUAGGUCACAAACAGUAGAAUAUUGCCAGUUUCAUUUGUUCAUUCUAGUUCACCCUGGUUGGCAGCAGAGCAUUUGGCUGUAGCCGGUACAAGGUGGGUUGACACAGUGGUCUUAGGUAAGUGCAGGGAGCAGCCCACAUGGGGAGGGCAGAGACAUUGGAUCAGAGCAGAGGACAGAUAGGGCACACAUGCAUGAGCCACCCCAAAGAGCCCUUGAACCUAAAGGAAGGAACUGUCUGUGGCUGCUGCAUUUCCUUGAGCAGGAGCUGGAGGCUGAGACCAAUGUCCUGUGAACAUUGUUCAGACCCUGUUCUGAGUGUUGCGGCUGGGGAAUGUGGGUUAUACCAACACUCAGGCAGAGGUGGCCACCAACACCAGGCACCCGUGGGCUGGGUGAUCAGGAGAGGCUCCUGGGAGGAGGUGUACCUGGGGCUAAGCCUUCAAGGAUAGGUGGGAAUUAAAACAGGUUCAGAGAAGAGGAGAAGUUUUAGACCAGAGAAACCUAAAAUUCUAAAGGCAGUUUGAAAUAGAGGAGUCACAAAAUAGUAUGGCUACUAUGAUUCCUUUUUUGUUAAAAGUAUAAGUGAAUAUAUACACACACAUACAGACACUCAUAUUAUAUAUAUAGAAUGAUGGAAGGAGGAACAUAUAACAAAAUUUUAGCUAUUUUGUCAUUAUAGGGUGGUUUUUUUUUCCUUCUUUGUGCUCAUUUGCGUUUUCUAAUUGUUCUACAGUAAGCAUAUAUUACUCCUAUGACUUUUUUUAGAGGAUAAGGAAUAAAGGUUGCUCUGAAUCUCAUCAGUGUGUAAGAUGGUUCAGGUAUGAAGCAAUAUCUGACUGUAAGUUAGAAUUCUCUCAAGGUAUUACAGAAAUAGGGAACUUCAUUAAUUUCUACAGCUUCUAGUAUAUAUGACAUAAUGGCUAAGAGGACGUAAUCUGAAGGUUUGAUUCUGUCUCCACAGCUUGCUAGCUAGUCACAUGGAACAGUGGUAAUACCUGCCUCUCAGGCUCCCUGUGAGGAUUCAACGGGAUAGUGUAUGCGAGACACCUGCCGCAUGGGAAGCACGCAACACAUGUUAGCUAUUAAUAGUGACACCUCUCUCUCUCUUGCUCUCUCUCUCUCUUUCUCUCCUUCCCUCUCACACACCCCCAGAACGUUAUUUGAACACUGCUCUCAGCCAUCCACAUGACAGUGUUGUCAUAGACCAACCAGCGUUUCUCAAAUGUUGACGUGCAAACAGAUGACCUGGAGAUCUUUUUUUUUUAUUGUUUUGUUGAGAUGGAGUCUUGCUCUGUUGCCCAGGCUGGAGUGCAGUGGCGUGAUCUUGGCUCACUGCAACAUCUGCCUCCCAGGUUCAAGCAAUUCUCCUGCCUCAGCCUCCUGAGCAGCUGUGAUUACAGGUGCGUGCCACCACGCCCGGCUAAUUUUUGUACUUUUAGUAGAGACAGGGUUUCACCAUGUUGGCCAGGCUGGUCUCGAACUCCUGACCUCAAAUGAUCCACCCCUCUCGGCCUCCCACAGUGUUGGGAUUACAGCCCCAUGCCCAGCCAACCUGGAGAUCUUGUUCAAAUGAAGGCACUGACUCAAAAGGCCUGGAGUGGAGGCAGAUUCUGCAUUUCUAACAGGCUCCUGGUGAUGUCCUGCUGCUGGUCAGGAGAUCACACUUUGAGAUGUGAAGUCAAGGAUGCGUUAAUAUCCUUUUAGGACUUCCAGGAACAGAAUGCCCUUAAAUGUGUUUAGAUAGAACCUAUCCUGUGGAUUCCAUUCUCUCUUAAGUAGCACUAUGUCAUCCUGUUCAUCUAUACACAUAGCCACCUACUAUGUGUAAGACCCUAUGCACUUGUUACAAUACAGGGCCCUGACCUUAAGGAGCUUGUAUUCAGCAUCUCAAUGCACAUGUAGGUGGCCCAGGAAACUGAUCCUGGGCACUCAGUGAGAACUGCCUACAACAAAUGAGAGCAACACUCCAGAGUCUAUUGUAAAUUCCAAAGAGAACUGAAGUCCAAAUACUUACUUUGAAAUGUUGAGGAUGAGCACGUGCUCCAGAUGCAGGGUUGCAUUAAUACAUCUUAACUUUACAAUGAGAGUUACGUCUAUCUAUAUAAAUACCUACUCUCUUAGGACAUGUGAUAUUGUGGCAUAUUGCCACGUUUCCAUAGUGGCAAGUUUUUCUCAUUCCUUGUUAGUGGAGGAACCACGGGUUGAGACAUGGAAGUCACCUGGAACAUAAGACACAGGCUUGCAGUGCACCACACCACUGUGUCCAUUGUUUAAGGAACAUGUUGGUCUCAUCUGGCUGCCUCUUGUGGGACUCGCAGCUCCUGCCUUAUUCCAUUUGAAGAUUACUAUUUGCUAUGGAAAAAGUGAUGUCAAAUUUAUGGGGUGGGGCUUGGGGCCAUGAACAAACACAAAAUAGUUGACCCCACAGGGUAGGAGUUAUUAUUAGGUUUAGGAGUCGCCACCUUAUGUGGGUCACCCACCCCAGGCCCUGCUUUUUGGGUGGAGCAGUCUGGCAAGGUGUGGGGUGGUACACUUGGCAGAAAGUGUCUGUUCUAAAUAGCACAGGUGAAUUGGCACAGGUAUAUCAUCCCUACUGAAACAGGACAUGAUCUACCUGCAGGAACAAUGGGAGAAAAAGUGAGAGGUGACUUGAAGUGGCACACUAAGACAAGUGAUCAAAUGUUAGAAUAAUUUCAAGGAUGGCUAUUGCCCUAGAAAGCAAGAACCCUCCAGAACUAGUUUCAUCCUUUCUAUACUUUCACCACAGGCUAAGCAUGGUAUCCCCAGCCUUAUCAAGUCAAAUUUUAAACUGCUUAAUGCCACCUCCCUCUGUCCACCCCCACAUCAUGCUGAUUUUAUAAGGAGAUUGCCUGUAUUUAAAUCCAGCUCUAUUACUUACUACCUGUGUGUACCUGUGUGAAAACUGGUAAGGUUUUUUUGUUUGGUUAGUUUUUGGUUUUUGAGACAGAGUCUCGCUGUGUUGCUCAGGCUAGAGUACAGUGGUGUGAUCUUGGCUCUCUGCAACCUCCACCUCCCAGGUUCAAGCAAUUCUCGGCCUCAGCCUCCUGAGUAGCUGGGGUUACAGGCGCUCACCACCAUGCCUGACUAAUUUUUGUAUUUUUAGUAGAGAUGGGGUUUCGCCAUGUUGGCCAGGCUGGUCUCACACUCCUGGCCUCAAGUGAUCCACCUGCUUGAGCCUCCCAAAGUGCUGAGAUUACAGGUGUGAGCUAUUGUGCCUGGCCCCAAGAGCUCUUUUUGGAGUUAAGAAAUUUCCAUCAAGUGAGGACACUUUGGAAGGAAAACUCCUGGAAAAUAGGGCUUUCCCGGCAUCCUUGGAGUUGAACAGAGCUGAAGUUGGCCAGAACUGCCAUGGGAAACCAUGGGAGAAUUUACUAAGAGAGUCUUUAGUCCUAGAUCACAGGGAGGGGAGAUAUAAACAGGACUGCCCAUAUCACGUGCUAAUUAUGUCCCAGGCAUUAUAUCCUUUGAUUCUCCCAAUAAACCUAUGCCAUAAACAGUAGCAUCAAUUUCAUUUCACAGAUGUGGACAUUGACACUUUACCGAGGGCAAGAACCUUGCCCAAGUGUAUUAGUCCAUUCUCCUACUGCUAUGAAGAAAUACUUGAGACUGAGUAAUUUAUAAAGAAAAGACGUUUAAUUGACUCACAGUUCCACAUGGCUGGGGAGGCCUCAGGAAACUUACAAUCAUGGCAGAAGGUGCCUUUUCACAGUGCAGUAGGAGAGAGAAUGAGUGCCAGCAGGGGAAAUGCCAGACGCUUAUAAAACCAUCAGAUCUCAUGAGAACUCACUCAUUAGCUCUAGAACAGCAUGGGAGAAACUGGCUCCAUGAUUCAAUUACCUCCCACCAGGUUCCUCCCACAGCACGUGGGGAUUAUGGGGAUUAUAAUUCAAGGUAAGAUUUGGGUGGGGAUGCAGCCAAACCCUAUCAUCAAGGCUAUAUAUAGCACAGUGGUAGAGCAAAACUUUGAGCCCAUUUUGACUCCGGAACUUAUUUUCUUAAUCACUAUUCUAGGUCCUUAAAGAAAAGGACUGAACUGGAACCUUACAGUUCAAAUAUAUCCUGCUAAAAGUAUUAGUUAUCUCCUGAUCCAUGAAACAAGCACACAUCAUGGCCCGGUGAUAGAGAGCCUGUCAGAUCAGGCUGUGGGGAACAGGAAGGAGACCAGGCUCGCCCUGCUGGUUUUCACUGGUGAAGGCAGUAAAAUCGGAGAUAGACCGGAGCCUGCAAUAAUACCACUGCCACCAUUUAUGGAGCGCCGUGCUAAACAGCAGCUGAGUCUCACAGCAACAUUAAGAGGCUGGGACUAUUAACCCCACUUGUCGGAUCAAAGAGACAGAGGCAUGACAAUUUUCAGGGACGUGUUCACAGCCACUCAGCCAGUCAGGGGCCAAGUCUUUUGGCUACAGGAAAUUGGCUGCUCUGCUCCUACUGCCUGUGGACCAGAGACCUGGUGACUGCACAUGAGUGUUAGGCCACCCGAGGACCCAGACUGUGAACUCAGCCUGCAUUCUGGCUCACCAGGACAGUUUCGGGAGCCCUCUUUGACUAUUGCCUUUGACAAGGCUGAAGAUGGGCUAAGACCAGAAUCCUCAACCAAAUUUAAAACUACUUAAGCUUGGAAUAUUCCGUUCUUUUCUGUGGCUGUAAGUCUCCCUCUCAGCACCCAGAGCCUUUCUCCUGACUGGUGGCUGCCUGCAUGGUUUGCCAACGCAGCAUCCACUCUGCAUUUGUUCCACAAAGCGCUGCUAAGUGCCUCCUUUGUGCCUAACACUGGGCCUUUGGUGGAGAUCAGACGGCCAUUUGACCUGGGGCCCUACCUUGAGCAAGGAUGAGGCCACAUUGGAAAUGCUGAUUUUGCCCAUAAACUCAUGCUCCAAGUUGUUUCACAGUAAUUAAAAAUUCAGCAAAGGAAAAAAAAUUCCCAGCAGACACCAUAGGUGGGAAACCUCUGUGUAGAAGCUGGUGAAAAACCAAUCCUCCAGUUCUAAUGGCACCUGGAUCUGAGAAAGAAAGGGACUUGGACUCCACAGACAGGGGGCAGAGACUUUAUGAGUCAUCCCGGUGAGGAUAAUGGGCAUUGAAACACGGCUUUGCAAACUCUGAAGUGAUGCAUGAGUGUUUGUUGGUUGCUAUUUUAAUUACAUAAAAUACAUAUCUAAGACAAUAUCCAAGAAAUGAAGAUUAGGAACUAGAGCAGAUUAACAGGAGAGAAAUCUGGGAUCAUGUAAACUGUUCAGGAGCCCCAAAUAAUAGAAUGUCUUAUUUUUUUUUUUACCCAGUCUACAGGCAACCCUAGUCACAGGAGGCUGGUGUGAGGGCCACUUUCUAGAUUUCCUUUUGACAUGUCUUUUUUUUCCUAGAAGGCAUCCCCAUCUCCCUAUUGUCCUCUGCUAACUCUUUGCAUCUCCACCUCCACCUAGGACUAUGAAAUAUGUCUUUGCAGGUCAUACUCAGCACAGCUACAGGGAGUGCCAUUCACAUCAAAGUCUACAUGAAUGAGACCACUGGGCCUUAAACUCAGCUGCAUGUUGGAAACAUUUGGAGGAAAUUUAAACAUUAUUGAUGUCUUAGUCCCUCCUCCAGGUUGUCUGAUGUAAUUGUUCUGAGUUGCAUCCUGGCUUGGGAUUUUUUUAAAUGCCCAAGUAAUUCUAAUAUGCACCCACCAUGUUUGAGAACCAGUAAAUUAGACUAUGCUGUGAAUGGUGCCCACUGAGGAUGUGUGGUAGAUAGUCUGCAUAGCCCUUCAGAUGAGCCCCGCCCACCCCAGCUGGCCUGAUGCAAUCCCCAGUGACCUGAACUUGCUAAUGGAACAGAUCACAGACUAAAUACAUACCUCUCUGCCUUUUACGUUGUUUUCCCUUGGGUCGGGAUUGGGGUUUGGGAAAGUGUAGGGACUGAACUGUGAUCCUUUAAGGAAUCCCUUACACUUUCUGCAUCCUUCUGAGGAAUGAAGGAGAGGCAAGGGUCUAAUCCUGCUGAAAAACUGGGAAUUUUUUCAAGGCCAGUUUUGGAGGCUGCCCAACUCUGGUGCUCUGCCCAGGGUGAGCAUGCUGUUUUGAUCGCCUGACUAAGAGAGUGAUUUAGGCUUUUGGAAGAAUCUGGCUCAUUUCCCCCGGUACCUCAGCCAUUCCCGGCUUGUAAAUCAGCCACCUUUAGCAGCUGCAUUUUACUUUCCCAGGCCACAAGGGAACUGUGUAGUUUUUACUGAAUUAGCAACUUAAUUGCACCAAAUAUAGCUCUAAUGCUCCCAAAGAACUCGUGGCAGCUCCCAAAGGUGUCUGGCUUCCUGCUCUUCCUCCCUCCCAUCCUGUCCCCACCAAACUCAGGGACCAGGUUAAAUUCUGGAAAAUUCGAGCUUAUUAAGUCACAGCCUCUGGAAUGAACUUACUUUACUUUGUUUAUGUCAAAUCUUGCCAUAUGAAUUUAAUGUCACUGUGUCCAUAACAACUGAUGUCCUUCAAGUAGGAAGAUGGGGGAUCAAAAAAAAUCCCACAAAAAUCCAGCCAUAUGAGACAAAUAUGUGAUACAAACAAGUCCUUGGUGUCAUGGUUUAGUUAAAGCUUGCCUAUUUUACAGCUCAGAUGCUCUGUAACUCAUUGACAGCUCUCCUGCUGAUAAGUGCAUCUGUUAUUCUAAAGUUACAAGUCAAACUUCUUUAGCCAAAACCUUGCAUCUGUCAUGUGUAUUUAUACUUGGCAUUUCAAAGUUAAUAUUUUUGGUUCAGCAGAGGAAUUCAAAACAAACAUUUUUUCUUAAAUUCCAAAUUCUUGAGCAGUUAUUUGAAUCCAGACAGAAGGAAGAGAGAGACAGAGAAACAGAGAGACAGAGAGAGAGGACCAAGUAUGGAACAGGCUGCUAGUUGCCUACCUAACAAUUAUUCUACCCUUUUCCCUUUGUAACAGAACAGCAACCAAGAAGACUACAUUUCCCAGACUCCUGCGCAGCUUAGUGUGGCCAUCUGGCCAAAUUCUGGUCAGAAGGUGGAAGUGUUAAGUACAGCAUGGAUCUUUCAGGAAGGCUUUCUUUAAGAGAGUUGAAUCAGGUGUGAGGUAUGCUCUUUUUUUCCUGUCUGUUUCUCUUUCCUUCUGCUUCGAGCAUGGACAUAAUGCUGGAGCUUCAGCAGCCAUCUUAGACCAUAAGGUGACUUUCAAGAGGAAAGCCACAUGCUGAAGGAAGAUGGCACAGGAGGAAGAUAGGAGCCUAGGCCACUGAGGACAGAGGGAGCAGUGCUUUAAUACCUACCUCUAGACUUCCUUUAUGUGACAGAGAAGUAAACUGAUCUUCUUUAAGUUAAAGUUAUGUUGAGUUUUUAGUUAUAUGAGAACAAAUCUAGGUCGGGUGCUGUGGCUCACGCCUCUAAUCCCAGCACUUUGGGAGGCUGAGGCAGGCAGAUCACUUGAGGUCAGGAGUUCGAGACCAGCCUGGCCAACAUGGUGAAACCCCAAUCUCAACUCAAAAUUAGCCAGGCAUGGUGGCGUGCGCCAGAAAUCCCACUAUUCGAUAGGAUGAGGCAGGAGAACUGCUUGAACCUGGGAGGUGUAGGUUGCAGUGCGCUGAAAUCACGCCAUUGCACUCCAGCCUGGGUGGCAGAACAAGACUCCAUCUCAAAAAAAAAAAAAAAAAAAGAAAAAAAGAAAGAAAGAAAAGAAAACAAAUCUAACCCUAAAUGUUAUGUUAGGGUAAAAUUGAUUUUUUAAAAAAGUCAUUUUUCAAACUCUGUUAGCACCUUUUUACCCAUGUUAGUCCAUCUGCUAAAAUGAACAUCAGUAUUUGAAAAGGUGUACAUCAAGCUUGUCCAACCCGUGGCCCACAGGCUGCAUGUGGCCCAGGAUGGCUUUGAAUGUGGCCUAACACAAAUUCGUGAACUUUCUUAAAACAUUAUGAGAUUUUGUGUGUGUGUGUGUGUGUGUGUGUGUGUGUGUGUGUUAGCUCAUCAGCUAUCAUAGUGUUAGAGUAUUUUAUGUGUGGCCCAAGACAAUUCUUCUUCUUUCAAUGUGACCCAGGGAAACCAAAAGGUUGGAUACCCCUGGACUGUACCUAAUUAUUUCUUGUGCUCAGCAAGGUUAAGCAACUUGCCUAAAGUCACCCAG
rnacentral:lncRNA from 1 species